rnacentral:rRNA from 1 species
GACGAACGCUGGCGGCGUGCUUAACACAUGCAAGUCGAACGAAGUGGCGAACGGGUGAGUAACGCGUAAUCAACUUGCCCUUCAGAGGGGGACAACAGUUGGAAACGACUGCUAAUACCGCAUACGGAAGGAGGGGAUGGCGUGUGAUUAGCUAGUUGGAGGGGUCACGGCCUACCAAGGCGAUGAUCAGUAGCCGGGUUGAGAGGGUGAACGGCCACAAUUGGACUGAGACACGGCCCAGACUCCUACGGGAGGCAGCAGUGGGGAAGCUUCCGCAAUGGACGAAAGUCUGACGGAGCAACACCGCGGGAGUGAUGACGGCCUUCGGGUUGUAAAGCUCUGUUAAUCGGGACGCGGUACCGGAAUAGAAAGCCACGGCUAACUACGUGCCAGCAGCCGCGGUAAUUC